GGUUUGUUUUAUCUGCAUGUGGCUGAGGAUAACGCUGGUGCUCAGCAACAGAGAAGUGGUUGGUGCUGUAUUGAUUCCAGGUUUCUGGGGUUUACAUAAAAGGAUAUUCACUUUGUGGGAUUUCUCAGAUCCUUUUCCAUGCUCAGCCAUGACUCACUCGCCCUGGAGCCAGCGUGUGGGAUUACGGAUUGCAGAAGUGCUUGUGGCACUUUCCUGGGAUAGUGGAGGCAAAAGAAACUUUCUGAGCAUCCAUUAACCCCUCCCUGCCCUAAGCAGGCAGGAAUGACAUCUGUCCCACUCCCUUUUGCUGGCCUGGCUCACAAACCCUCAGCUCUUCUCUGAGGAGACCACAGCACUGGAGAUCAUCGUGUGGAGUCAUUUCCCACAGUGAAAUUGCCCAAGGCUGGGAGCAGCCCCAGCUUAUUACAGCCUGGAAUUCACAGGACGAUGCACUGGGUAUUUUGUUUAUUAUCUAAGGGGCAAUAAGAUAAAAAGAGAAAUGUGGCCUUGACUGCCUAGCUGGGGGCAUCAUGAGGGUCAAGAGCAUGAAGGCUGCAGCCUUGGGUCUUCCAAAUUAGUGCAGAUCUCCUCUGGCACAGUAAAACCAUGCUGAUGUGCAAAUCUGAUCCCAGGUGUGCCUGGGGACUUAAUUUCCUUCUUUUCAAUUACUUAAAAAAACCCCAAACUUAAAAUAAAAAGGCAACAUGCACAGCCUUAAAGCCCUUAGAAUGCAGGUUUCAAGGUGAGAUCAGCUAAUGACAAACAGAGCAGCGAGCGGCUGGAGCAGAGGGAGCUGUGAUUUCCAAGAAAUUCCAUGGUUCUGACUACUCCGUGAGCAGCUCUGUGUCCCUGUUCUGCUACAGGUGUCUAUCACCUGUACAGGAGGAAUUUGGCAGGGCAGCAAGGCCCUUUCUAGAGCAGAGUCUGCUUUCCGACAGGUACCAGGUGCCCGUGGCAGUUGGGCACGGUGCUGGCUCUGUCCCUCUGGGCAGGGGGACAGGUUCUGAGCACGCUGGCUCUGUCCCUCUGGGCAGGGGGACAGGUUCUGAGCCCACAGGACACCUGGCUGGCAGCAGGGAGGGAUUUCAAUUACCCGUGCAUGGCCAAGAGCACAGGGGACUUGUCCAGGGAAUUAAUGACUCGGCACAGGGAGGCAGCCCCAGGGCUGGAGGUGGAUGAAUCCUCAGUUUGGAGGGGAUGGAUCCUGCAGCAGGAGGCUCCCCUGCCACAUCCCCCUUCCUCACUGGCUGGUUUUUCCUGGGAUUUAAAGUGAAUGGCAGCCACACUUCCCCACCACAGCAGCAGCUCAGUGCCUCAGGUAACACAGCUCAAGGUCACCACAGCCUUCCUCCUGCUGGGGAGAUUUUGGGGUCAAAUACGGAAUAAAGGAAACAUUUCAAACCAACCCAGUGACCUUCAGUCUCGCUGGUAGAGAAAGGAGGCAGGACAGAGCUGGGGAAGGUACCAGUGCCUCACAAGAACUGAGCAGCAGCUGACCUUUGGAGCCUUAUUUUUGUACAAAAUAUUUUGUUUAUAGAGCCUAACCCAAAAAUAGCAACACCUCUUUCUGAAGUCCAGCAGCACCGAGGCACUGCUGGAGAGCUGUGUUGGGCAGAUAAUAGAAAACAUGCCAGCCUUUUGUACCACGUGAAUCCAAAUGUUUAAGCACGGCCACAGAUUCACCUGUCAAAGCAACACCCCUCAGGUGUGCUGAGCAGAGCUGGCACCAGCUGCAGUUAUUGCAGUUCUCUGUCACAUCAAGCCCACUGGAAGCUGCCAAACCUCGACGUGUCCCCUGCACACCCCAUCAACUUUUGUCUCCAGUAAUUCACAGAUUUCACAGUUCCCACCAUUAUUUUUCUGAAAGCUUCGUGUCAGCUCCAGAGGGGUUUUAAAGUAUCGAUGUCAAAUCUCUGUUGAAGCCAGAAUUCUGUCAAUAGUUAAUCUGAACUAACAAAACCCAAACUACAAACAAAUCCCAGCCGGAUUGAGCUUUAUGUAUCACAGCUUAUGUUUGUUGAGCUUUAGGAUUGAACCCCUGAUCCUCAUACCUCCUGGAUGUUCCAGGGAUUACAGGAGUAUUACCAAAUCCUAAUUACAUAUAGUUUUGACUAUCUGACUCACACAGUUCUCUUAAAGUACUUUUUCCUUUUUCUUCCUUUUUUAAUAUUUUAAACUGAUUAAUUCAGUCUUAAGUGCCGUGCAUUUAAUUUUCUUAAAGAAAACGUAGCAAGGCAGAAGUGAUUGGGGCUGCAGUGCAGCAAACUGGAGCCUCUCAGACUUGCUUUUUUCCCAUACACAAUAAUAAUAAUUUUUGACAUUGCAGCUGUUGUGUGAUCCAAGGCAGAGAUGGGGGAUCGCUUCAGUUUUACCUGAAAUAUUUAAAACCUUUCACAAAGUUCAUGGAAACUCUUCUAGAAUUUAUGACAAUUUUUUUUGCCAGGCAGCAUUGCUCAUUACAAAGUCUCUUUUCGGGGAUGCUGUAAAACCAAGUUCUCCCCUUGGACUGCUGAAGAGGCUGAAGAAUCUUAAAAACAGCAA